GACGAACGCUGGCGGCGUGCUUAACACAUGCAAGUCGAACGGAAAGGCCCUGCUUGCUUGGUACUCUCGUGUCGAACGGGUGUGUAACACGUGUGUGAUCUGCCCUCCACUCUGUGGUAUGCCUUCGAAACUGUGUCUCUUACCCCAUAUAACCGACUGUCCCGUGUUGUUUGGUGUAGAGCUUUUGCGGUGUGGGAUGGGCCCGCGGCUUAUCAGCUUGUUGGUGGGGUAUUGGCCUACCAAGGCGACGACGGGUAGCCGGCCUGAGAGGGUGAUCGGCCACACUGGGACUGAGACACGGCCCAGACUCCUACGGGAGGCAGCAGUGGGGAAUAUUGCACAAUGGGCGGAAGCCUGAUGCAGCGACGCCGCGUGAGGGAUGACGGCCUUCGGGUUGUAAACCGCUUUCGCCAGGGACGAAGCGUGAGUGACGGUACCGGGAGAAGAAGCACCGGCUAACUACGUG
rnacentral:rRNA from 1 species